rnacentral:lncRNA from 1 species
AUUGAAGCAAAAAUCGAGCCAAAAUAUCCUAAAAAAUAAAAAAUAUUACCUCCGGUGCACGGUGGACCGGCCGCUCGGUCCACAGAGCCAGGGUGCGGUCCACAGGAAUAGUUACGUGGUCCACAGGCGUGGCUCACAGUGAGAGAAAAAUCCUGGGCACGAUCCAAUGACUAAUAUUUAAUAUGAAGAUCGAUCCAACGGCUGUUGUUCGUUGUCGGUUUAUAAGAGGGAUUUUUGUGCGAUCCGACGGUCCAGAAGCGAUCCAUCAUGUGAUCUAAUGGCUGUUAUCACUUCCAACUUUGAUAAGGAGUUAAACUGCACGAUCCGACGAUCCAGAAUCAAUCCCAAAUGCGAUCGGACGGCUGUGGUUCGAUCCGACUUUGAUAAAGAUGAAAAUGGUUGAUUUUUUAUCAGAUCUGAGCUGUCCAAGCUCCAUCCGACGGUCAGCAAUAUUUUUAAGAAGAUUAAUAUGAUUUCUAAGGGUUUUAGGACUCUUUUUUCUAUCAAAAAAUUAUGAAAAAUUUAUCUAUAAAUAGGGGGUCCGGGAAUAAGCUUUAGGAGCAGAAAAAUUGAGUAGAAAGUAUAGAAAAAAAUAGAGAAAAAAUUAAAUAGCUUUAGGGAUCCAAGAAAAAGAAGGAGAAAAGUCGGUUCACUCUAUGGAGUACAACGAA